UACAGAGGGUGCAAGCGUUAAUCGGAAUUAUUGGGCGUAAAGCGCGCGUAGGUGGUUUGUUAAGUUGGAUGUGAAAGCCCCGGGCUCAGCCUGGGAACUGCAUUCAAAACUGACAAGCUAGAGUAUGGUAGAGGGUGGUGGAAUUUCCUGUGUAGCGGUGAAAUGCGUAGAUAUAGGAAGGAACACCAGUGGCGAAGGCGACCACCUGGACUGAUACUGACGCUGAGGUGCGAAAGCGUGGGGAGCAAACAGG
rnacentral:rRNA from 1 species